rnacentral:lncRNA from 1 species
GAGCAAAAUGGAUUCAGUCCUCCUUGGAGAACAGAAAAGGAUGGAGCCAGUAUGUGUUAUAAACAUUUCCAGGGAGAUAGUCUCUUUCCCAGAAUUGGUUUUAGUCAAAGGCUGCUGACCAGUUGUGUGAUUUCAUUUGGGGUUGCUGACCCUGGACCCUACUUGAACUUGACUCUGGAUGUCAUGUAGGCAUCUACCCACAUCGUAUCUGUGUCCUCAAUCUCCAUUCCUGCUGGUUCAGCCCCUGCUGUUAUUUUUUAAGGGCCCGAGCCAUGUAAAACCAAGACUUUGGAUUUCUGAAUGAACGCUUCUAAUGUUAAACUUGGUGGUUUCCUGUCACAGAAGCAAAGACUCAGUGAAUUCUGAUCGUUCUGCAAUGCGGAGCUUUCUUUUCCGGUUAGAUUAAACAUCCUCAUUCCCUUCGAUUGCAACAUUUGAUCUUCCAUGCUCAGAAUCUGCAAAUUCUUUGAACAGUUUACUUUCAGUAGAUUACAACUGGCCUUUCAUUUUCCAAUCUGAGGAAAACCAAGUGGAAAGUGUGGGUUUGCUGGGGGAUUGUUUUUCCUGUCUGCCCUCAUAUUUAGUUGAGACUGUGAUAGAUGGAACUCAGAUGGAGGACUUUCUCAUGCAGGCCCUUGCUUCUGGUAGGCACUUAUGUUCCAAACACUGUUGGAUGGAAUCCUACUUGUCCUGGGUCCGAUCACAGCAGCGGCCUAUGUCGGUUUCCUGUGGCUGCCGUGACAGAUUAUCAUAAACCAGCUCCAGAGAUGUCCCUGAAGACAAAUUUCACAAGGACUUGCAUGGGAGUGGAGCAGAGUUGAAGGCCAGCAAACUAUUAGAAUGAGCACCUAGUCUUUAGACAAGAGAAGAGACGCUGACUGCUCACCUGUGGACAGGAGUCUGGGAGUCUGCGGGGCCUUCAGCUGGCCACGAGCUGACCACAACUUGCACUCCAGUCCUAUCUGCCGGGACAUGGGAGCUGCCGAACUUCA